AGUUUUAUGAGGCUAUAUAAAAUGAAACCUGCCCAAUGAUAUUUCAAUGGCCGCAGUACUUUAACUGUGCUAAGGUAGCAUAAUAAUUUGGCUUUUAAUUGAAGUCUGGUAUGAAAGGAUUAAUGGGUAAAACCUGUCUUGUUCGAUUUUUAAAAAAUUACUUAAAAGGUGAAAAUUCCUUUAGUAAAUCAAUAGACGAGAAGACCCUAGGAGUUUUUGUUUUGUUGGGGCGACAUUCAAGUAAGUUAACCUUUAUAGCUAUUAAAACGACUGUAUUAAUAAUAAUUAAACUACCCUAGGGAUAACAGCAUAAUUUUUUAAAAGAUUGUGACCUCGAUGUUGG
rnacentral:rRNA from 1 species